rnacentral:misc_RNA from 1 species
CCGAUUGCGAUUGCACGUCGGGCAUUCAGUAGACUCGGCCAUUUCUCUCGCGAAGUGUAGCGACUCGCUUAGCCGCGCGACGGGGUUUUUUUUUUCGCGAACUUACCGUGCGGGUACUCCCGGAAGUUUUGCAAAAUAACGCGACGCAAAAGGAAUGAUACACUCCGGGCGCACCAGGCUCGAGGUAUACGUCGCGGCGUAAUAAUUUUAUUAUUAAGUUCACAAGAACUUAUAAGUAUCCUUAUCCAGAUCCAGGAUUCUCGCUGCAUUUAUAAAGAAAAGAUACUGGUUUACUAUUAUUGGUUAAUUAUUAACAUAAUUCGAUGACAAACUUCUAAAUUUUUAGGAAACGAUUGUAAAUAUGUAUUAUAAUAAAAUACACUACUAUUUUCCAAAUUCACCUUAUUCCAAAUUUUUUGUAGAUAUUCUUAUAUGUUACUUUAGUUUCUAUUUAUUGCGAAGGAAACUGAAGAUAUAAAUUUUCAUCUCACCAAUUGGCAUUAAAUAAAUAAACGUUUACAAAAGUAGUACAUUGUGAAUUGUAAUUUCAUAACCUGAUUACAAUCUACAACAAUUACUUGUUAUCCUUAUGACUAUGCA